rnacentral:rRNA from 1 species
UACGUAGGCAGCAAGCGUUGUUCGGAAUUACUGGGCGUAAAGAGUGUGUAGGCGGUGCUCUAAGUUUGGUGUGAAAUCUCCCGGCUUAACUGGGAGGGUGCGCCGAAAACUGGAGUGCUCGAGGGUGGGAGAGGUAAGCGGAAUUCCUGGUGUAGCGGUGAAAUGCGUAGAUAUCAGGAGGAACACCUGUGGUGUAGACAGCUUACUGGACCACUUCUGACGCUGAGACACGAAAGCGUGGGUAGCAAACAGG